rnacentral:rRNA from 1 species
UACGUAGGCAGCGAGCGUUGUUCGGAGUUACUGGGCGUAAAGCGCGCGUAGGCGGCUUUGUAAGUUAGAGGUGAAAGCCCGGGGCUCAACUCCGGAAUUGCCUUUAAGACUGCAUCGCUAGAAUUGUGGAGAGGUAAGUGGAAUUCCGAGUGUAGAGGUGAAAUUCGUAGAUAUUCGGAAGAACACCAGUGGCGAAGGCGACUUACUGGACACAUAUUGACGCUGAGGUGCGAAAGCGUGGGGAGCAAACAGG